GACCUGUAUGGCGUGGCAUGGCGUGUCGUGUCGGCCAUCCAGGUGUAUGUUUCCUCCGCGGCCCACAGGUAACGUGUGCACCGCUGCUUCCUAUACUCAUUCAGUGUGCCUAUGUGCGUAAUGGUGACACGGUCUCCCUCUUGGAUCAGUUUGGGAGGCUGCUGCUGCUGCUAGUCGCGUGGGGCCGGGUUGCCCUGCUGAGAGUUCUGCGGUGCGGAUCUGUGUUGUGCCUUUUGGCGUGUCUGUCAUCGAGGUGCACGUUUAACCCCCGCAACUCACAGGUUAUGUGCACGCUGUUGCUCCUUUCACCCAUUCAAUGUGCCAAUUUGCGUUAUGGUGACACAGUCUUCCUCUCGGUGGUGUUGCUGGUGGCGUGAGGCCGUGUAGCCCUGCUGGAAACCUCUCUGGGUGUCGCUGUGUCUCCAGCCACCCUACACCACUCUGUCUUUAGCCUCCUGUGAAGCUGUGUUGGUCUGAGUGAACUACAUUUAUAGUUUCCUGAACAGCGCUGCUGUUUUGGCUCUGCUUCAGGUUUUUAGGAUUGAGUGUUUUGAUUGUUGACCAGUAGUUUUUAAGAAGGAUCAGUUGAAUAUAAUUUCUUUUGCAAAUUUUGUUGAGUUUGUUUAUAUUAGACAUUUAAUUGUCUUUUCGUCUUUAUUUAGUUUGCUCUUAUUGCUUUAUUGUUGCUGUGUGGGGGUGAAUGUGUGUGUUUGGGUGUGUUUUGUGUUGAACAAAUUAACUGCAUGAAGCUCUGUGGCCUGUUUUUUAAUUUUCCCUGUUCUUUUGGAUAGGUGCUGUGGGCCCAAGGUGGUGACCCAGAACCCUGAUGGUGGGUUUUCCUCACAGAUCCCCAGUGUGUGUGUGCUUGCGGUGUCACGGGUGUUUUAAUUAGUUCUUCCUCCCAUGGCUUUUUGGUUUUCUUGGGCCGCCACGGUAAGCUCCAGCCCAAGGGUUUUAUUUUGUUUGUCCAUUCAGCCAUACUGAUUUGAGUAUUGCAAUUGGUUUGGAUAUUUCUAAAGUUAUUGGUCAUUUUGUUAAAUAAAGACUUUUCAUACAUAUUUUGUUCAAACCGUCUCCUGCCCUGUGGUAAUUUCAAAUCUUGCAUGUCUUCCCAUUACAAUUAUUUAACCAUUUCCUGGGGCGUGAUUCCCAAGGUGGCGUGGAUUGGCACUAUAACUUUUCAACCCUCCACUUGCCACAUUAGCAUGCCAAUAUAUGAAUGUUUUUAUGAUAAUGUCAGCUUCAGUAACAAGGAAAUACUCAAGCAAAGACAUGUUUAGACAGGUUGUUACAGUAAAGCUCCACAUGAAAUACUGACCUUGACUGAUGCUCUAAAAGCUAAAUGUUAACUCAGAACAAAACUGGGACAGGAGUGAUGUUAUAAUCCAGAUCCUAGUUUUAAACUUAAAACAUUUAUAUUUAGGUUUGAAUGAUGAUACAUGUGCAGAGGAUUAAUGUCAGCAUGCCAAAGAACAUUGGAUAGAAGUCACAGCUAUUUUCUCUCCUCAAACUAAAACCUUGUGUUUCAGAGUUACACUGCAGCUGUGGUGUUGUUCCAGGACUGCAGUGUGCUCUUCUUUCACCAACUUUUCAGCAGCUCCAGCACUCGGCAUUCGCCCUAAGGAGAAAAAACUCCUAUACUGCUGCUGACAGUUUAACAGGCAGAUAAUACACAGCCAGGGCCAAGUAAUGACCACCUGAACACGGCGUGCACUCAGGACAGCCUCCAUGGAGGUAUGUCCCUGAUUGUAGCUGCUGUCCUGUAAAGUUUGGACUUGUGUGCAGUUCUUGUACUGGAAUAAAAACAGUCUAGAGUUACACUGUCGUACAAACCGGAUAAUAAAGCAGAACAUUUUACUCUUAAUGGUUCUGAUGAAAUACAGGGAGCUUGUAACCCUCUUCUGUAAAAGUCUACCCCUGUAUAAACCAGUAUGAACCCUAUCAAA
rnacentral:lncRNA from 1 species